rnacentral:rRNA from 1 species
GACAGAGGGUGCAAACGUUGUUCGGAAUUACUGGGCGUAAAGCGCGUGUAGGCUGCUUGGAAAGUCGGAUGUGAAAGCCCUGGGCUCAACCCAGGAAGUGCAUUCGAAACUUCCGAGCUCGAGUUCUGGAGAGGAUAGCGGAAUUCCCGGUGUAGAGGUGAAAUUCGUAGAUAUCGGGAGGAACACCGGUGGCGAAGGCGGCGACCUGGGUCGAUACUGACGCUGAUGCGCGAAAGCGUGGGGAGCAAACAGG